rnacentral:lncRNA from 10 species
GUCAGGCUCAGGUCUCUUGACAGGAUACAUCCGGCAUCCGGGGAAACGUCGAGGGGUGGGGUGGAAUCUAUUUUGUGGCCUCAAGGGAGGUUUUGAGAGAUAGUCUUGCAAACGUGAUGGCCUAAGGAAGCCCCUCUGCCCAAGAAGCCAUAUUCAUUUGUAUCCUGUAGCCACCCACGAGGGAGAAUCCGGCUCUCUACAGACACCCCAACCCCCACCCCACCCCACCCCCUGCCUCGUGAAAUGAGCUCUCGCUCCAUCAGGCUCUAUUCACACCGUCUGGUUUUGUAACCUCCAGCGUGUGUGCAUGGGUUGCGGGGUGGGGUGGGGGCGGCUGUGGACAGAGAAGGGGAUAAAGCGGCGGUGUCCCAUGGGUGCCCGGGACGUGGGACAUGAGUAGAGUGGCCAGAGCCUAGUUAACUCAUCGCCUGUCAGGACGUCUCCCCUCCUGGUCCCCUCUCUGACCUACGCUCCACAUCUUAGCAGUUCAGUGGGGACCUUGUGGGUGGAAGUUGCCAACCCUUUGUACUUUAGCCGACGAAGACUGGGCUCCCAAGAGUCUCCCCGGAGUCGGGGCCUUGGGCAGGUUCACAAGGAUCCUGAUGGCGACGGUUGGUGAUGGUGAUGUAAGUUGGAAGCCUCGGACCAAAUCAGAGGUAUCCAUUUGACCUCGGUGGGACAGGUCAGCUUUGCGGAGUUCCGUGCGUCCUUCCAGAGAUUCAUCCAGCGCUAGCAAGCAUGGUCCCGAGGAUCCCAGCUCCCAGCAGAGGCAAUUUUGUUCACACAGAAUCCUGGGCAGGAAAGUUCUCAGCAGAUUUAGGCCUCCUAGCCAAAAAGUCAAAGCCACUUCUGGGAUUUUUUUUCAAAGAGCCAAUGGUUCCACAAUGGGCCAUGGGUAGUUGUGGAAAUGGAGAGACGUGUUUGCAGAUACAUAUUUGAGACAGAACGGACAGGGCUCGGUCACAGUUCAUGUAGGACACGAGCAGAUGCACAUUGAGAAAACCUUCCCAGCAUCCUAGGUGAACAGAGGUAUGAUUUUUUGAGACAGUCGAGGGAGACGCAACCCCAGAUUUUAGGGUUGGAUCUUUAUUAAUAUGUAGUAUCUAUGAGGAAUCCAAGUCCAGAAAUCAACUCGCCAGUUCUGUACAGCAUUCUGUAGGGAGAUCAAAUCUGGGAUGUCUAAAGUUAAGAAUUCAGGCCGUGGUAAUGGAUUAGAUUAGACGUACUUGAACUUAUUUUGCAAAGAAAGAGAGGGUGGGAGAUAGCGAGAGCCAGAGAGAAGGCGAGAGAGAGAGAGAGAGAGAGAGAGAGAGAGACAAAGACAGAGACAGAGAGAGACAGACAGAGAGACACAAAGAUACACAAAGAGAGAAAGACAGAAAGAGAGAGAGAGACAGACAGACAGGCAGAGAAAGGGAGUAAGACAGAAGACAGACACAGUGAGAGAGACAGACAGAGAGAGAGAGAAAUAGGCAGAGAGAGACAGAGAGAGAGAGAAGACGGAGAAAGAGAGACAGAGAGAGGAGGAGGAAGGGCGUGCUCAGGAAAUAAUUACACAUAUUUUAUAACGCUUUUGAUCCCAUAAACGGUGGCCGAGGUGUGCUUUGAAAACAACAACAACAACAGCAACAAGAGCAGCAGCAGCAGCAAGAGCAGCAGCAGCAUUCACUUACGGAUUUCUAGAACAUAAGAUGUUCUGAAGAGUAGUAAACAUCAACCGGCUCUCACUAUACGUUCAGAGAUUCACAAAAUCGUUAGUAAACAACAGGAGAAAACCGCAGCUUACAUGUCUUGGGGAAAAUAUACGUCUUCCUGAAAACUGGGGAUUUCUACUUCAUCUAAAAAGAAAUACAUAAGAAAAAGGAAAAACACGAACGAAACAAAACAAGCCAACAAACACGGGCCAAGGCACUGUCCCUGGAAAUCUUAAGUGAGCAAAGUAUUAGUUUUCAGAAAGCGUUUCUAUUUUGGACAAAUACUAAGAAGGCCCAGACUAGAGCUGUGACGUCAUUCCUAUUGUGAAACUAUGCUGGCCGGAGGGCGGAGAAACUAAAACAUCAUGAUAAAAGGUGAUUGAAACCCAGCCGGGGUGAAGGUUUCCUAGGGAGGGAGGCCUGAGGAAGGAAGCGGGGUAAAAAACCCACAACUGCAGACCCGCCCGCUUGCCGACGCGGGUCAAGGGCUAUGCCAUCGGCCCAAGCUGCCUCUGGGGAAGUGGGACCGUGCCACCCCCAUCUUCAAAAACGGUGGCCACUGAAGAUGCUCAUUUCAACAACCAGGCGGUUGAUGUGACGGAAGAAGUGUCAAGUCCAGGAGUUUGAGACCAGCCUGAGCAACUGAGCAACACAAGUAGGAGAGCCCAGCUGAAAAAAAUGAAAAAAAGAAGGAGGAGGAGGAGGAAAGAAAAGAAAAGAAAAGAAAAGAAGAGAAAAAAGUUAAAAUUAUCCAAUGGUGCAGGCACAAAAAAGAGUGAUUUCACGUCUUUUCCCACAACAUGGAUAGAGCUGGAAGCAAGUAUGUACCGAGUGAACUGCCUUCUGCUUACAAGUGGGAGGUAAAUAAUGGGUACGCGCACGGUCAUCAAGAUGGAAAUAACAGACACUCCAAAAGGGAGGAGGAGGGUAAGAGGGGGAGGAGGAGGGUAAGAGGGGGACGAGGAAUGAAUAAAUCGCCCGUCAGAGACAACGUUCGCCACGUGGGUAAGGCAUACACUGGAGGUCCACUUCUGCAUCCGGAAGCAGUAGUAUGCUGAUCUAACAAACAAGCACAUACACCCCCUGAGUCUGUAAAAUACCAAAACAACGACGACAGCACCAGCAGCAGCAGCAACAGCAGCAGCAGCACCAACAACAACAACAACAGAACAGAAGCUGGAACACAAAACCACCACCACCACCACCACAGUCGCCAGUCGGGGGUUGGGGGAGGGUGGCCGCGCUCGAGACCCUCAGGCACAGUCCCCUCGGGUUUAAAAAAGAAAACUGCAGACUCAUUCCUGUCUGUAGGCAGGAAAAAUCCAAUCAAAGUUCUCCAUUGCUAGAAAGGGAAGUAGAAUAAGGAGAAGGGCUUAUUGAUCUUCUUGUGAUCGAUUGAGACCACACAUGUAGGAAAAAAUUAAAUACAGACAGCAACACUUUCUACACUGUUCAAAAGCAUUGGAGAUCAGGCGCACCACACACCAUGGGCCUUGAGCCACUAGAGAGAAAAGGCAGGCCAGGUGCGGUGGCUCACGCCUGUCAUCCCAGCACUUUGGGAGGCCGAG